ACCUCGUCGAUAAGCCUUGUCAAGUUGAUAUCCGCGGUUCCACCGGGCAGCGUCACCCUCGUGGCCAUCUCCUUCCACUCCGCCGCGCGACGCCGCAUCUCCCGCCCUUUCUCCCCCUCCAUGGCCUCCCGUAUCGUGGCGGCCACGUCGCUCCGCUCCACCUCGCCGCCGAUCUCCAUCCCGACGCCCCACUCCGUGCGCUUGUACCGGCAGUUCGUCUGCUGCUCCGCGAAGAACGGCCAGCUCAGCAUCGGCACGCCCGCGGCGAGGCUCUCCAGCGUCGAGUUCCACCCGGAGUGCGUCAGGAACACACCCACCGCGGGGUGCUCGAUCACCUGCUCCUGCGGGCACCAUGUCCAUGCCGCGGCCCUCCACGGCGGCGAGGAACUCCGGCGGCAGCACGGCGGCGUCGCCCUUGACGAGGUCGGGGCGCACGUUCCAGAGGAAUGGGUAGCCGCUGUGGGCGAGGCCCCAGGCGAACUCCAGGAGCUGCUCGUUCGUCAUCACGGCGAUGCUGCCGUAGUUGACGUACACGACGGAGCGCGGCGGCCGGCCGUCGAGCCACUCGAGGAGGCCGCCCUGCUCCUUCCAGAGGUUCGAGCCGAUGGCUGUGUCCAGCGGGCUGCCCUUGGGGACGACGUGGCGAACGUGGAGGUGGAGCGGCCCGACGGUGUAGACCGGUGGGAGGAUGGCGCGCAUGGCGUCCAGCGCCGGCCGCUCGAGGUCGUCGAAGGUGUUGAGGAUGACGGCGUCGGGGAGGGUGAGCCGCUCGGCCUCGCGCAUGAUGAAGUUGAGCAUGAUGUCGCCGCGGUCCGUGGUGCGGAUGAAGCUGGGGAAGUCGCGCAGCUGGACGCCGUCGCACAUGCCGCGCGCGCCGUCCACCACCGUGUCGAGGUACCCGUCGGCGAGCUGCGCCGCGUCCUUGAGCGGCACGAGGCCGCGCUCCACGAGCUGCCGUGGCUGUACCCCACGAAGCCGCAGGCGCUCGGCGUGCACAGCGCGGUGCACGGCACGCCGAUCCGCCUCGCCGCGUCGUACGCGAACGACAUGAUGGCGUCCGCCACGACGCACGUGACCGGCGGCACACCGGAGGUCGGGUCAUUGAGCUCGGCGAGGAGGGCGACGACGUGGGGGAGGCAGGUGGUCAUGGUGGAGCGGCAGAGCGCGGGGAUGUCCUGGGUGGCGUCGGCGUCGGACGGCGGGAGGCCGUCGGGGAUGGCGGCGAAGCGGAACCCCGGCACGCCGCCGUCGAGCGCGGCGGCGCCCCGGGAGGCGAGCAUGCGGCGGUGGUUGAACUCGGUGUUGACGAAGGUGACGUGGAAGCCACGCGCGUGGAGCAGCUUGGCCAGCUUCAUCAUCGGCGUGAUGUGGCCCUGCGCCGGGUACGGGAUCAUCACGGCGUGGCGCUGUCGCCUCGCCAUCGUUGCGUCCUGCUUCUCCGGCGGCAUUACGGUGUCACGCACUGUUCUGGCUCUGCUUGGAAUGCAUGCUACAUGUCCGUCACGCGAGACACGCGGGAGAGCCAUCGGUUUCUCCUGCAAGAGCGUCAUCGCAUCAAGCCUUUAA
rnacentral:lncRNA from 1 species